rnacentral:rRNA from 1 species
UACGUAGGGGGCAAGCGUUGUCCGGAAUCAUUGGGCGUAAAGAGCGUGUAGGCGGUCCGGUAAGUCGGCUGUGAAAGUCCAGGGCUCAACCCUGGGAUGCCGGUCGAUACUGCCGGACUAGAGUUCGGAAGAGGCGAGUGGAAUUCCCGGUGUAGCGGUGAAAUGCGCAGAUAUCGAGAGGAACACCUGCGGCGAAGGCGGGUAGCUGGGCCGACACUGACGCUGAGGCGCGAAAGCCAGGGGAGCGAACGGGG